rnacentral:rRNA from 1 species
CCCUUAGAUGUUCUGGGCCGCACGCGUGCUACACUGAGUGGAUCAGCGGGUCAGGUUGCGCGAAAGCGUUUCCUAAUCUUUAAAUCCGCUCGUGAUGGGGAUUGACGGUUGCAAUUUUCUGUCAUGAACGAGGAAUACCUUGUAAGCGCGGGUCAUCAUCCCGCGCUGAAUACGUCCCUGCCCUUUGUACACACCGCCCGUCGCUCCUACCGAUUAAGUGGUCCGGUGAGGCUUUGGGAUCUGAGCGGAAAGAGCGUUUCGCUGUUUCUGCUCGGAAAACUCAGUCGAACCUUAUCAUUUAGAGGAAGGAGAAGGCGUAACA